rnacentral:rRNA from 1 species
UACGGAGGGUGCGAGCGUUGUCCGGAAUCAUUGGGCGUAAAGGGCGCGUAGGUGGCCUGCUAAGCGUGCGGUGAAAGUCGGGGGCUCAACCCCCGAUCGGCCGUGCGAACUGGGAGGCUUGAGCACUGUAGAGGCAGGCGGAAUUCCUAGUGUAGCGGUGAAAUGCGUAGAGAUUAGGAAGAACACCAGUGGCGAAGGCGACUUACUGGACUGUAACUGACGCUGAGGCAUGAAAGCGUGGGGAGCAAACAGG